GCCGGAGUGGCGGAACUGGCAGACGCGCACGGUUCAGGGCCGUGUUCUUGUAAAAGAGUGUGGGUUCAACUCCCAUCUCCGGCACCA
rnacentral:tRNA from 1 species